rnacentral:rRNA from 1 species
GAUGAACGCUGGCGGCGCGCCUAACACAUGCAAGUCGAACGAUUAAAGCACCUUCGGGUGUGUAUAAAGUGGCGAACGGCUGAGUAACACGUGUGCAACCUGCCCCUUUCAUUGGGAUAGCCACGGGAAACCGUGGAUAAUACCGAAUACUUCGAGACUUCCGCAUGGAAGACUCGAGAAAGCUCCGGCGGAGAGGGAUGGGCCCGCGGCCUGUUAGCUUGUUGGUGGGGUAACGGCCUACCAAGGCAAUGAUGGGUAGCUGGGUUGAGAGACCGACCAGCCAGAUUGGGACUGAGACACGGCCCAGACUCCUACGGGAGGCAGCAGUGGGGAAUCUUGCACAAUGGGCGAAAGCCUGAUGCAGCGACGCCGCGUGCGGGAUGAAGGCCUUCGGGUUGUAAACCGCUUUCAGCAGGGACGAGGCGAAAGUGACGGUACCUGCAGAAGAAGCCCCGGCUAACUACGUG